ACCCUUGACAUCCAGAGAAUCUGUGAGAGAUCGUAGAGUGCCGUUCGGGAGCUCUGAGACAGGUGCUGCAUGGCUGUCGUCAGCUCGUGUCGUGAGAUGUUGGGUUAAGUCCCGUAACGAGCGCAACCCUUAUCCUUAGUUGCCAACAGGUCAAGCUGGGAACUCGUAGGGAGACUGCCGGUGAUAAACCGGAGGAAGGGUGGGGACGACGUCAAGUCAUCAUCGGCCCUUAUGGGUAGGGCUACACACGUGCUACAAUGGCCGGUACAGGAGGGCAGACGUAACUUGCGAGAGUAAGCAAAUCCCAGAAAGCCGGUCCUAGUCCGGAUUGCAGUCUGCAACUCGACUGCAUGAAGUCGGAAUCGCUAGUAAUCGCGAAUCAGAAUGUCGCGGUGAAUACGUUCCCGGGCCUU
rnacentral:rRNA from 1 species